GAUAAACGCUGGCGGCGUGCAUAAAACAUGUAAGUCGAACGGAGUCAGCGCAAGCUGGCUCAGUGGCGGACGGCUGAGUAACGCGUAGGUGACUUGCCCGGAAGUGUGGAAUAACGAUUCGAAAGAAUCGCUAAUACCGCAUGCGGUUGUGCGUAUAGACACGUGCAACCAAAGCUCGCAAGGGCGCUUCUGGAGAGGCCUGCGUCUGAUUAGCUAGAUGGCGGGGUAACGGCCCACCAUGGGGACGAUCAGUAGCCGGUCUGAGAGGAUGAACGGCCACAUUGGGACUGAGAUACGGCCCAGACUCCUACGGGAGGCAGCAGUGGGGAAUAUUGGGCAAUGGGCGAAAGCCUGACCCAGCAACGCCGCGUGAAGGAAGAAGGCCUUCGGGUUGUAAACUUCUUUUACCAGGGACGAAUUUUGACGGUACCUGGAGAAAAAGCAACGGCUAACUACGUGCCAGCCGCCGCCGUAACAC
rnacentral:rRNA from 1 species